GUAAUUAAGUGCAUGUGGUGGAUGCCUUGGCAGUCAGAGGCGAUGAAAGACGUGAUAGCCUGCGAAAAGCUCCGGGGAGGCGGCAAAUAUCCUUUGAUCCGGAGAUGUCUGAAUGGGGGAACCCACCUACUUUAAGGUAGGUAUUGCAACAUGAAUACAUAGUGUUGCAAGGCGAACGAGGGGAAGUGAAACAUCUCAGUACCCUUAGGAAAAGAAAUCAAUUGAGAUUCCCUCAGUAGCGGCGAGCGAACGGGGAUCAGCCCAUUAAGUUAUGUGUGUUUUAGUGGAACGCUCUGGGAAGUGCGAACGUAGAGGGUGAUAUUCCCGUACACGAAAGGGCACACAUAAUGAUGACGAGUAGGGCGAGGCACGUGAAACCUUGUCUGAAUAUGGGGGGACCAUCCUCCAAGGCUAAAUACUCCUGACUGACCGAUAGUGAACCAGUACCGUGAGGGAAAGGCGAAAAGAACCCCUGUGAGGGGAGUGAAAUAGAUCCUGAAACCGCAUGCAUACAAGCAGUGGGAGCACCUUCGUGGUGUGACUGCGUACCUUUUGUAUAAUGGGUCAGCGACUUAUAUUCAGUAGCGAGGUUAACCGUAUAGGGGAGCCGUAGAGAAAUCGAGUCUUAAUAGGGCGUUUAGUUGCUGGGUAUAGACCCGAAACCAGGCGAUCUAUCCAUGAGCAGGUUGAAGGUUGGGUAACACUAACUGGAGGACCGAACCCACUGUCGUUGAAAAGCCAGGGGAUGACUUGUGGAUAGGGGUGAAAGGCUAAUCAAGCCUGGUGAUAGCUGGUUCUCCCCGAAAGCUAUUUAGGUAGCGCCUCGGACGAAUACCAUAGGGGGUAGAGCACUGUUUCGGCUAGGGGGUCAUCCCGACUUACCAAACCGAUGCAAACUCCGAAUACCUAUGAGUACUAUCCGGGAGACAGACUGCGGGUGCUAACGUCCGUAGUCAAGAGGAAAACAAUCCAGACCGCCAGCUAAGGCCCCAAAAUCAUAGUUAAGUGGGAAACGAUGUGGGAAGGCAUAGACAGCUAGGAGGUUGGCUUAGAAGCAGCCACCCUUUAAAGAAAGCGUAAUAGCUCACUAGUCGAGUCGGCCUGCGCGGAAGAUGUAACGGGGCUAAAACUAUGUGCCGAAGCUGCGGAUGUAUACUUUGUAUACGUGGUAGGGGAGCGUUCUGUAAGCCGAUGAAGGUGUGUUGAGAAGCAUGCUGGAGGUAUCAGAAGUGCGAAUGCUGACGUGAGUAACGACAAAACGGGUGAAAAACCCGUUCGCCGAAAGACCAAGGGUUCCAGUCCAACGUUAAUCGGGGCUGGGUGAGUCGACCCCUAAGGCGAGGCCGAAAGGCGUAGUCGAUGGGAAAAUGGUUAAUAUUCCAUUACUUCUGUGUAAUGCGAUGAGAGGACGGAGAAGGCUAAAUCAGCCUGGCGUUGGUUGUCCAGGUGAAAGGAUGUAGGCAUGUAUCUUAGGCAAAUCCGGGGUACUCUAUGCUGAGAUCUGAUAGCAAGCUGUACUUGUACAGCGAAGUGGUUGAUGCCAUGCUUCCAGGAAAAGUCUCUAAGCUUCAGUUACACAGGAAUCGUACCCGAAACCGACACAGGUGGUCAGGUCGAGUAGACCAAGGCGCUUGAGAGAACUCUGCUGAAGGAACUAGGCAAAAUGGUACCGUAACUUCGGGAGAAGGUAC
rnacentral:rRNA from 1 species